rnacentral:rRNA from 1 species
CACGUAGGGUGCGAGCGUUGUCCGGAAUUAUUGGGCGUAAAGAGCUCGUAGGCGGUGUGUCGCGUCGGCCGUGAAAACCUGCAGCUUAACUGUGGGCUUGCGGUCGAUACGGGCAAACUAGAGUAUUGCAGGGGAGACUGGAAUUCCUGGUGUAGCGGUGAAAUGCGCAGAUAUCAGGAGGAACACCGGUGGCGAAGGCGGGUCUCUGGGCCGAUACUGACGCUGAGGAGCGAAAGCGUGGGGAGCAAACAGG